CGAGCCAGAAUACAUUUUUGGUAAAUAUACUGUACAGUAGCAAUAGUUGGUACUGUAAUUACAGUAUUUUUUUUUCUCCAACAUUAUUUUAAGUCAAACUGAUAUGACUAACUGUACUGUAUUUUAUCUUUUUACAGUCCGUCGCCAACCAGUGGAGGAGACACCUGUGCCAAUUAUUUAUGGGGGCCCCAGACAGGGGCAAGAUAGGUGGGCUGGCCCAGAAGCGGGCAGGCAGCAGCCCACUUAUACAAGAGAACAGUUGCAGCGUGCCAUCCAGCUCCUGCGGGUGGUGGUCCACCUCCUAGUGGACCACUUUUUUAAUUUGUUAUUGCGAUUAAUUUAAUUUUAUUUAAUAAAAAUUUUUGUUCUUGUA